CUCAUUUGAACAUAAACAACCACUCAAGCAGUCACAAAAAGUGUUUCCUCAAGUUCAGCUCAACGAUUUCUUGCUAACAGCCUUUUCUACUGCGGAUUUCUUCCUUCAUUACAAGAACUAAAGAGUCACAGAGACUGACCAGAGCGACUAAAGUAACUUUCAUCAUGGAAAAUUGUGACGUUCCCGUUCUCCUGACCGACAACCAGACAGGAAGGAGAACCUCUGCUCGCCAGGCAGAGAGCGCGUCGAGGCCCUCAGCCUGGAGACAGUGUUCAUGCUGCAGGGACAAGCAGGGGCCGACUCUAAAGAGAAAGCGCCGGCCCUCUGCUGCUCCCGGAGACCUUCACCAGAAGAGGAAGCGCACCUCCGGAGGCCGUCCCCUCCCUGACCAUCCAGAGGUGUUGGACUGUGUCCCCGCUGUGCAGCCCUCCCCAGCUGGUGACCAUUCAGGGUCUUUGGUGGAGAAGCCUAGAGCCACCAUCCCACCUGCUGACCUGCCCCGAGUCUCCUGUGUGGCCCCCAGCCUCCAGCCCUCCACUGCUCCACUGCACGACGGGCCUCUGAAGAUAUUCAACCUCCCAGUGGAAGAAUACCAGCAGCUGUACCACGAGGUUGUUGAUGAAAUGCUGAGGUUCAAGAGCGGCCGUCUGCGUCCUUACACUCUGAGCCUGGGGCGCGUCAUCAAGCAGAAGCUGUGGCAGAGACUGGACCGUCCCCUGUUCACCGAAACAGUCAACGGAGACGGACUGGUGCACGUGGAUGUCUCCUACGGGGUUGGAGUCUUCCCUCCCCUCCACCAGGUGGACAUUUUGGGGGAGCCAAAGCCAGGGACACCACAGAAGAGCUAAAAACUCCAAAACCCUCAAUUAAGAUCACAUUGCUGAUAAGCAAAAGUUGUGUGAUUUUAAGUAUCAAAAGCACCGUAUUAAGAUGGUUCGCACGGUGGUGCCCACCAGGAGAGAAACUCCCCUCCACCUCCAGCCCCCGUCGUUGUCCUGCAGAUUCCAGCUGACAUUAGCUUUCUGCUGCCUCCACCCUCUGCCAGCAGCUUUUACCACGCAACCGCUGCCCCACGAUCCACCUGCUGAUAGCUGGAGAUGUAUUUCCACCUACAAAUUGUGGGGAACAAGUGUCUCUGGACAAUUUGCAUCAAAAACUCACAUUGACUACAAUUCAACAAGCUACACCACCUGCAACCUACCCUCCACCUAAAGAACCUCUGCCACAGUCCUGCUGUUGCUGCCUCCACCAGCAAGUUGUGGCAGCUGGAACCUUCAGCCUCCUCUAGCAAUCUGCAGUUGCUGCCUCCAACUGCAUGUUGCUGACAGCUGCUACCAAACCUCCACCCUCUGCCUGCAUCUGCAGUUGCUGCCUCCAACUGCAGGUUGCCGGCAGGCAGCUGCAACCAAAUCUUCACCUACGGCCUCUGCCAGUGACCUGUUGAUGCCGCCUCAAACUGCAGGUUGCUGGCAGACAGCUUCAACCAAACCUCCACCUACGUCCUACGACCACAGUUGCACCACCACCAGCCUCCACCUAAAAUCCUCUGCCAGCAACCUGCGGUUUUUGUCUCCAACUGCAGUCUGCUUGCAGACAACUGCAACUUAAUUCCACCUUAACAGCCUCUGCCACAAACCUGCAGUUACACCCUCCACUUGCAGAUUGUGGUUGAGGGGCUACAACCAAACCUCCACCGCCAGCUGUACCUAAACAUCCACAGAGACUGACCAGAGCGACUAAAGUAACUUUCAUCAUGGAAAAUAGGUGUUGGACUGUGUUCCCGCUGUGCAGCCCUCCUCAGCUGGUGACCAUUCAGGGUCUUUGGAUUUGGUCCGGAAGCCUAGAGCCACCAUCCCACCUGCUGACCUGCCCCGAGUCUCCUGUGUGGCCCCCAGCCCUCCACUGCUCCACUGCUCCACUGGCCUCUGAAGAUAUUUAACCUCCCAGUGGAAGAAUACCAGCAGCUGUACCACGAGUUGUUUUUGGACUCCACACGUCCAGAUGUACCAGGAGCUGAUCGAGAGCCACCGGGACCAUUCCUUCUACCACAAGAGUCGUGUUCCAGAGAUGCUUAUUCCUCCUCCACCUUCACUACACAUUCCUGCUCCUCGUCUGGACCUUUGCAUUAUUGUUCAAUAAAUGAAUUGUUUGCAGUCA
ensembl:lncRNA